rnacentral:miRNA from 14 species
CGCGCCGGUGCCGUGUUCUGUGACCGACUCGGCUGGCGCGGGACCGUCACAGAACACGGGACCGGCCGCAU